rnacentral:lncRNA from 1 species
CAGCGGAGAAACCACACAAGCCUGGACUCUGGGACACUCGGGAGCCCUGUUGGAACCCGGAUCCAAGCAAAACAGGGUGUUGCUGCUGGAAUUACCUUGAUGGCUGGAGCUUUUGGCUCCCUCCGCAAAUGCUGGCCUGGAGCAUGGCACCACGCAACCUCCUGCCCUUGCCAGGAAGGGCAGCCCUGGCUCUGUCCCCUCAGUGCUGUGGGUAGAGUUGUUUCUCUCCCCACAUGCCUCCUUUGCGCAGCCUCCCGUGCCCAGCGCAUUCCAUGGUGGACAGCCAAGGGCAGGGACCAUUGUGUCUCUCCCAGGUGCCAAGAUGCUGUGCUUGGGGCAGCUGAAGCCUGCUCACACAGCCUCUCAGCCAGCCGCUGGGCUGAAACCCUCACAGGUGCCCGUCCUUGCUGCUCUGCUCACCUCUGCUGUGCUCCAUCCCUUCCAAAUGCAGGUGCCAGGCAGGUCAGCAGCGAAGAGCCACACACAACCAGCUUCCAUCCAAGGGGCCUGCUCCCACAGCGCAGAGCCACUGCAUGUCCAGUUUGGCAGCUUUUCACUUGCUCACUUGAGUGAGAAGCCUUGAACAGAGUGGAGCUGAGUUCCUGGCACCCUCAGACAACGUUAAUUUCCCUGGGCAUUUGUACCAGCAGCUGGCACAAACAGGAGCCUUAUCCUGGCUGGACUGUGUCCUGGAACGAACAUGAGAUGAGAAGGGAAACUGAGGGAAGGGGCUGGCAGCCAGUCAGCAAGAGCUGAGCCAAAGCUGUACUCGAAGUCAAGGUUCUCCAGCACCUGGAGCCACGCUGCUGGGGCCAACCCACAGGUCCCCAUCCCCGGGCCCCCAGUGCUGCCCCUCUGCUCUGUAAAGCCACAUGUUCCCAGAGCAGGCAUGGGGGCUGGGGGUCUCUCCUGCCAUGCAUGGGCUGCAGAGCCAACAUGCUGCCUCCCGCAGCCCCCACGCUGCCACGCUCCCACCGUGCCAGGGACACCCCGCCACAGUGGGACCAGCGGGACACCCGCAAAAGAGAUGUGGGAGCCCUUAGAGCAACCUGGCAGCUGAGAGACACUCUCUCUGGUGCUGCCUUCGAUCCGUCUGUUGGCUCCUGUUUGCACUUACCAGCUCUGAGUGGUUUUUAAUUAUUGAUGCCUCUUUUAGCUU